rnacentral:lncRNA from 1 species
GCUCCGGCUUCCCUCCAGGCGGCAGCGGAAGGUGGGAGCGACGACUGCAAAACGGCAGCGAUGGGGGAGGCUUGCUGCUCCUCCGCGGCCGUUACAGAGAGCGGGGCUUCUGCGGCCGCUACCGUUUCCCUGGGGCUAGGUUGCUUCGCAGAAGGCUCUGGCCCUGAGUCCGAGGGGGACUGCGGGGUCCAGGGGCGAUGAAUGCUCCCGCAACCUCCGGAGCUUGUGCGCGUACUUCAGGGACCGGCACCACGUCACCGUCACCUCCUGAGUAGUGAGUUCCCCUCUGAUGAAACCACUGGUGUGUUUACUCACCAUCCCCACCAUUUUUUUUUCCCCAACCUGAUGGAAGGAAGUACAUAAUGGAGAGCAAGUUUUUAAAGCACGGUCGUGUCGUGUGAACUUGCUCUAGCCAAAUUAGGUUUAUAGCACUUUUUUUGGCUCUCAUUACCUCCAGUCCCCACAUAAACAAGAGUGACCAGCUGGGUCAUCCGCAAGACCGUUUGAAAUUAUUGUGGCUUGGGUGGAAACUUAAAGGAGUGAAGUAUCUGCUUUCCAGAAAAAUCGUUGUCAUUCAAAGUGAAAUUAAACUUGUUUUCUUUGCAAUAAUUCGCCUUUAUUUCCUUGUAUAUCUGUAAACUCUUCACUUUUUUGUAAUUACUAGACAAUUCGGACUUAAAAAGAGCCUCAGCAUGUGUAUUUUGGAAUUGUGUAGCUUCAUAAUGUGAAAAUUAUUCUUUUCUAUUUGAGUAAAGUACAGUUAAUUUGAAGUAAAUAAAAUUUCUAUUUCCAUUGGUUGUUUCUUUUAAAAAGUCACCUUUUACUUACAAAAGAAUCACUGUAAUCCAGUUUACAUUUAUCAUUGAAGGUCAAAAGCAAGAAAUAGGAAGAAACACAAGCAUACUAUAAAAUAAAAGGUAACUGUCAUGUUUUUGAAGGUAAGGUGUUUUGACAUAUCAGCAGACAUUGUGUGAAUUUAUUUCAACUCCUAGUGGUACUGGUGUAGGUAGAAAAUGUUUUGCUUGGUUAUUCAUUUCAUCAAACACUCUACUUCACUGUUUUUUUUUCACUUCAGGAAAAUUCGAGGAGGAACAACACAUACUAGUGUCUUUCCUUUCUUUCUCCCCGUCUUCUGCAAAUAGUCCCUUCCUCUUCCUGCUUUCUCCUCCUUCUCAUGUUAACAUCUUCAACCAUAAGAUGGUGUGUUAAAAGAUUGAAUAUACCUCUAUGGAAUGACUUCCAGAGGGUGUAAGUCUGAUAUGAGAGUUUUAUUACCUUGAGUAUUUUACUGGAAGAGAUAGAACAACAAACAUUUUCAUAAUAAAUGUGUGGGUUAGGAGUGUUAGGAGAAAAUACACUGAUACUAUUACUUUCAAUAUUUGAUACUACUUACUUUGACUCUCACUGAACACCUAUUUGUUUAGGAUGAAUUCACUUUAAGCCGGGUUGAAGAACAAGCCUUUAAUUGUCCUAUUAUUUGUGCCAAAUCUAUUAUAAAUUUGUUAAAAAAUUUUUAAUACCUACCUUAGAGGGUACUCUAGGUAUUUAAUGAGCUAGCAUUUGUUAAAGGCUUGUAUAGUAAGAAUUCUUAUAGUAAGAGUUCUUACCAAUAGAUGGUAUAUUUUUUAAAUUGUCCUGUUGCAUCAAAAAGUUCAUCUUUAUUGGUAAUGUUGAUUAAGUUUGCCCAUUUGGUAGUUUGGUUUCUUUUAACUAUCUUACUAGAUUUUCUUACUUUUACCUGAAAAGUAGUCCUUACUAAUAGGCACAUGUUUUGUAUAUUUCCAAAAUAUGUAUUAUGUUAAAUUCUCUGUACACUUUAUUUAAAAAUUACAGACGUUGAGGGAAAAAAAAUACCCUAUUAAGGGAAGAAUGAGUUUGUGUAUAACUUGUAGAAGAAGGAGGCCACCCAUUUUUAGAAAAAUAUGGAUGGUAUUGAAAAUUUUGCCAUGGCAAGGGAUAAAAAGGACAGGCUUCUCUAAUGUGUCUGAAACAACAUUUGAAUCCCCUUUGUUCAUUCCCUAAAUCUGCUGCUCCUUUAGAAUUCCUGAUUUUCAUAAAUAGUACCACCAUUCACUUAUUUGCUCAGGCAUAAAACUUGGAAUUUUCUGAUUCUUCACACUCAUACAACUCAUCAGACAGUACCAUCAGUUCUUCCUGACAAAUACAUUCUGAAUUUAGCUACUUAUCACUUCCACUGGUACAACCCUUGGGAGCCACCAUCAUCUGUUGCUGGACCACAGCAAUAACCACACUAGUUGCUAUCACUUUCUAUCUGUACCCUCAUGAAUAUUUUCCCAUUUAAACCAUUCUCUAUAUACCAACCAAAGCAAUCACUUAAAAAAUGUUAUUAGGUUAUGUCACUCCCUUGUUUAAAACCCUCCAAUAGCUUCCUUAUGCACACAGAAUGAAAUCGGAAUUCCUUACCAUAGCCUUCAAGACUGCAUAAUCUGGCUCCUGCCCACUUCUCCAUCUUCCCAGGAAGCAGCACAGGAAGUUGUUCUCACCCUUCUUACUGCCUCCUUUCUGUCGUGGGCUGUGCUUUUUCUAGUCUGUAGCAGAGUCUGUUAGUUGUCCCCAAAAAUUCCUCCAUUUUUUUCAUAGUAAUAGACAUGGAUACAUGGCUACCCAGAACAAAGACUAUAUUUUGCAGCCUUCCUUGUAGCCAUGUAAUAGUGCUGGCUGAUGGGAUGUAAGCAGUAUAUCAUGUGGCACACUUGUAAAACCAUCCUUAAAAGAUAGUUGGUGCACACCUUCAAUGCGGCUUUUCCUUUAUCCUGUACCGUGGAAUAUAGAUGUGAUGGCUUAGAACUGUAGCUGCCAAUUUGUGCCUCAUGCAAGUUCUCUCAUUCUAGGGAUGGCAAAACUAAACUGGUGGAAACCAGGGUCUGUGAGAACUUUAUGGAUCAGAGCACCAUGCUAGCCCUGCAGUCGUAAAUGUCUAUAUUAUUAAAGCCACUAUUUUGGAGUCUCUUGUUCUCAACUGAAUUUAAUCUUACCUGAUACUCUGUCUCAGGGCCUUUGCACUUGCUUUUUAUUUUUUAUUUAUUUAUUUUUUUUCUGCCUGGGAUGUGGUCUUCUGUCUUGGAUAUGGCUGACUCAUUCUCUUCCUUCAGGUUAACCCAAAUAUCUCUGACAGGCCUUCCCUGGCCACCGUAUCUAAAAUAGCUCACGUUCCCAUUUAUUCUCUGUCAAUCACGUGCCCCUCUAUUUUCUUAAUAGCAUUUAUAAUUUAUCAUUAUCUUGUUUAUUCACUGUUUAUUUUCUACCUCCCUUCACCCUACAAAAAUAUAAACUACACCUGUUUUUUUCCACUACUUUAUCCUUCACACAUGGUAGGCAUUAGAUAAAUGCUGUUAAAUUAGUGAGUGAAUGAAUCAACAAAAUUCUUAUCCAAGAUUAGCUAGACUUUUUAAAUAAUAAAUGAGUAAAUGUCAACAGAUAUCCUUAACACAAAAUUUGUAAAAUCCAAUCUAGGAAACAGGAAAAACAGUACUAAACUAAUAGGAUAUUCCUGACCUCCAACUUAAUAAAGAAGAUGUCUACCUUUUUCUGGGAAAUCUGUAAGGCUAGUACAAGUUAAAAAAAAAAAGACUGCACUGCAGUAUAUCCAGGGCUAAAAUUCACACUAAAAGGGGUCUGAAUUAUAAUUUACUAGACCUCAGUUUCUUCAUCUUAAAUAUGUGUAAGCUUUGAAUGGUAAUACUAUAACAGUUAAAAGUUUAAUAGUAAGCCCAACUUAUGAGUGACAAAACAUGUUAAACAUUAAUUUAGUCUUCAGGCACUAUUUUAACAAGUGGUUAUUUCUUGAUAAUACUGGCAAGGAUUCAGAGAAACAGGGCUGCUUAUAUUGCUGAGAGUGUAUGUUGGCAGCACUUUUCUAGAGUGCAGUUUGGCAAUAUGUAUCAAAAGCCUUGAGCCAUGUGCAUUUGACCCAGCGAUUCUUUUAGAAAUGUGUCAUAAGCAGGCUGGGUGCAGUGGCUCAUGCCUGUAAUCCCAGCACUUUGGGAGGCCAAGGCGGGUGGAUCACCUGAGGCCAGGAGUUUGAGACCAGCCUGGCCAACAUGGUGAAACCCCGUCUCUACUAAAUACAAACAAAUUAGCUAGGUGUGGUGGUGCACGCCUGUAGUCCCAGCUACUUGGAGGCUGAGGCAGGAGAAUCGCUUGAACCCGGAAGGCGGAGGUUGCGGUGAGCUGAGAUCAUGCCACUGCACUCCAGCUUGGGUGACAGAGCAAGACUCUGUCCAAAAGAAAAGGCCAGGCACGGUGGCUCAGAGAGCCACCUGUAAUGCCAGCACUUUGGGAGUCUGAGGUGGGGUUGGAUCACCUGAGGGCACAAGUUGAAGACCAGCCUGGCCAACAUGGUGAGACCCCAUCUCUACUAAAAAUACAAAAAUUAGCUGGGCAUGCUGGCGGGUGCCUGUAGUUUCAGCUAUUGGGAAGGCUGAGAUGGGAGAAUCACUUGAGCCCAGGAGGCAGAGGUUGUAGUGAGCCGAGAUUGUGCCACUGCAUUCCAGCCUAGGUGACAGAGCGAGACUCCGUCUCAAAAAAAAAAAAAAAAAAGAGAAAUGUAUUAUAAGCAAAUAAGGGUGUGUUUAACAAGUUAAUUGCAAGAGUAUUCUUUACUGCAUCAUUUAUUAGGAGAUUGGUUAAGCAACAUCCAUACAGUGAACAGUAUUCAGCCAUUUGAAAUGAUGUGGAGGAAAUUUUAUUGACAUGAUACAUUGUUAAGAGCAAAAGAAAAAGUUUUAAAAUACAAAUGUUUAAUUUGUAAGUCUCACAAACAUCAUCUAACGAAAUAUACACGAGGUGUUAAGUCAGCCUUGCAAACGUAACUAUUUUUUCAUUAUUUUUAUAUCAGUUACUGUUAUUGGAGCAUUUUAUAUUGACUGAGGAUCUUUAUUAAAACUUCUUCAGCCUUCUGUGAAAUCUUGUUAUGAUGGCUAUAGUGACACUAUAUAAAACACAUAACCAGAAUAUGUUUAUGCUCAAAUAUUUCAAGCAAUAUUUGAUGCUUAAAAUACCAAAGUGACAAUGAAAAUGAAAGAAAUUUGGAUAGUUCCUUAGAGUUAUUUGUUUGUGUUUCAGAUAUGAACAUAAAGUAUGUUUUUAAUAUUACCAGUUUUGAGAAUAAUAGAAUAAAUGCCUUCUCACCUUAAUAAGAUGUUCUGUUCUGACUCAGUAUUCAUUUGCCAUUUAUUUUUCAAAUGUAGCUGAAAUCUCAGUCAUGUUCCAGGCACUAUGUUUUGUCUCUGAGAGAGGAAAAACCAAACUUUUUCCCUGUUCUCAAAUACUACUCAAUACAAUACUUCUGCAACAAGAUGGGGUGGGAUAGCGGUCCCCCCUCACCCCCGCCCACAUCAAACCAUCAAUUUUCUAGCAGACAUCAGCUGGGUGUCUCAAUUCUAUUCAGUUCUGACACUAUCUACCUGGAGGCAGCAUCAGAUCGAACAGAUUGAGGGCUCGGUUCUGCAAGACUGCCCCCACCACUUCCAGUACCAGCCACAAGUAGUAGGUUGUCACCGAUACUCCUGACCAAGCUGUAAAUCAGGAUUCCCAUGAUCCCUUCCUCAGGUUCAAUUAGUUCACUAGAGUGGCUCACAGAAGUCGGAGAAACACUUUACUAGCAUUUACCCAUUUAUUAUAAAGGAUAUUACAAAGCAUACAGGUGAACAGCUGGAUGGAAGAGGAAUCUGCACACCUUUUCUCCCAUACCUUGCCCUAUGUAUAGGUAGGGAGAAGAGGUGUGGCAAUUCCAUGCCUUCUCCAGGCAGGCCAGCUUCCAGGAACCUCCUAGUGUUCAGCUAUCAGGAAGCUCUCUGAACCCUGCCUGUCCUUUUGGGCUUUUAUGGAUACUUCAUUAUGUAGGCAUGAUUGAUUACAUUAUUGGUCACUGGUGAGCAAAUAACCUUUAACCCCCUCUCCCCUCCCUGGAGGUGAGGAGCCAGGUUAAAGUUCCAACUCCCUAAUCACAUGGUUGGCUUCCCUGGCAACCAGCUCCCAUCCUGAGGCUACCCAGGAGCCCAUCAAGAGUUACCUCAUUAGAACAAAAGAUUCUCCUAUCGUCCAGGAAAUUCCAAGGGGCUUAGGAGCUCUGUCAGGAACCAAGGGUCAAAGACUGAAUAGAAUAAGAUUCUCCUAGUGCCCUUUAUCUAGAAGUUUUAGGACCUCUGGGCUAGGAAACAGAGACGAAAACUAAAACGUGCAUACAGAAGAUAGAUCUAUAUAUAUAAUAUUAUAAAUCACAUCACCUUGUCAUUUAGUUCUCAAGAAAACUAUGUGAUGUCAGAAUAAUAGUAUAAUUUUUUCCAUUUUCUUGUAUGCUACAUGUAUGUAGCAGAUAUCAUUUAAAUUGGUGAACCACAUUUCCCCCCCUUUAAAUAUCCUUGUCCAUAUAUUGAAUCUCUCUAAUACUCAUCACCUUUGGAAUUGAUCAUGGCAGUAUUAAAGGCACUUCUAUUCUGAACUGAACAUUAAAGAUGCUAUUACCCCUCCAGUGCUUUUGUGGGUCACUAUCAUCUAUAAAAAAUAUCCUAAAAGGAGAAGCCAAAUAAAUGAGGUAAUCAGUGGAAAGAAUAUAAGAUCCUUGGAAUCUAAAAAAUGGCUGUAACCAAUCAGCAUAAUAAAACCUCUAACAAUAGAAAAAUAGUUAACCACUUAGUUUAGCAUCUGCUAAAUGGCAAGCACCAUAAUUACAUGAUUUCACUCAAUCUGUGUAACAUUUCUGUGUGAUAGGUGGUAUUUGCAUUUUACAGAUGAGGAAAUGGAGGCUUUAAGAGAGGUUGCUAGAUAUAUCUAGAAAACCCCAUUGUCUCAGCCCAAAAUCUCCUUAAGCUGAUAGGCAACUUGCGCAAAGUCUCAGGAUACAAGAUCAAUGUGCAAAAAUCACAAGCAUUCUUAUACACCAAUAACAGAGAGCCAAAUCAUGAGUGAACUCCCAUUCACAAUUGCUUCAAAGAGAAUAAAAUACCUAGGAAUCCAACUUACAAGGGAUGUGAAGGACCUCUUCAAGGAGAACUACAAACCACUGCUCAAUGAAAUAAAAGAGGAUACAAACAAAUGGAAGAACAUUCCAUGCUCAUACGUAGGAAGAAUCAAUAUCGUGAAAAUGGCCAUACUGCCCAAGGUAACUUAUAGAUUCAGUGCCAUCCCCAUCAAGCUACCAAUGACUUUCUUCACAGAAUUGGAAAAAACUACUUUAAAGUUCAUAUGGAACCAAAAAAAGAGCCCACAUCGCCAAGUCAAUCCUAAGCCAAAAGAACAAAGCUGGAGGCAUCAAGCUACCUGACUUCAAACUAUGCUACAAGGCUACAGUAACCAAAACAGCAUGGUACUGGUACCAAAACAGAGAUGUAGACCAAUGGAACAGAACAGAGCCCUCAGAAAUAAUGCUGCAUAUCUACAACCAUCUGAUCUUUGACAAACCUGACAAAAACAAGCAAUGGGGAAAGGAUUCCCUAUUUAAUAAAUGGUGCUGGGAAAACUGGCUAGCCAUAUGUUGAAAGCUGAAACUGGAUCACUUCCUUACACCUUAUACAAAAAUUAAUUCAAGAUAGAUUAAAGACUUAAACGUUAGACCUAAAACCAUAAAAACCCUAGAAGAAAACCGAGGCAAUACUAUUCAGGACAUAGGCAUGGGCAAGGACUUCAUGUCUAAAACACCAAAAGCAAUGGCAACAAAAGCCAAAAUUGACAAAUGGGAUCUAAUUAAAGAGCUUCUGCACAGCAAAAGAAACUACCAUCAGAGUGAAAAGGCAACCGACAGAAUAGGAGAAAAUCUACUGCAAUCUACUCAUCUGACAAAGGGCUACAAUGAACUACAAUGUAGAUCCAGAAUCUACAAUGAACUCAAACAAAUUUACAAGAAAAAAACAACCCCAUCAAAAAGUGGGCAAAGGAUAUGAACAGACACUUCUCAAAAGAAGACAUUUAUGCAGCCAAAAGACACGUGAAAAAAUGCUUAUCAUCACUGGCCAUCAGAGAA